rfam:Schistosoma rodhaini strain Burundi genome assembly, scaffold: SROB_scaffold0001703
AUUCAAAUGACGAGUUCCAAAUAGAGCGAAACGCGCGUCCUGGAU